rnacentral:rRNA from 1 species
CCUACGGGUGGCAGCAGUGAGGAAUAUUGGUCAAUGGUCGCAAGCCUGAACCAGCCAAGUAGCGUGAAGGAUGACUGCCCUAUGGGUUGUAAACUGCUUUUAUGAGGGGAUAAAAUGAGUCACGUGUGCCUUUUUGUAGGUACUUUAUGAAUAAGGACCGGCUAAUUCCGUGCCAGCAGCCGCGGUAAUACGGAGGUUCCGGGCGUUAUCCGGAUUUUUUGGGUUUAAAGGGAGCGUAGAUGGGUUGUUAAGCCUGUUGUGAAAGUUUGCGGCUCAAGGGUAGAAUUGCAAUUGAUACUGGCAUGCUUGAGUGCGGAUGAGGUAGGCGGAAUUCGUGGUGUAGCGGUGAAAUGCUUAGAUAUCACGAAGAACUCCGAUUGCGAAGGCAGCUUACGAAACCGCGACUGACGCUGAUGCUCGAAAGCGUGGGUAUCAAACAGGAUUAGAUACCCGGGUAGUC